CAAAAGUUGGGUGUGGUGGAUAGUCUGGAAGGUUGUCAGAGGUUACAGCUGAGAAGUGGCAGAUGGAGUUUAACCCAGAUAACUGUGAAGUGGUUCAUUUUGGUCGGUGGAGAAUCAGCGAGGUCUGGGGGUCCGCUGCUGCACAGGUUUGUUAAGAAGGCUUAUGGUGUGAUGGCCUUCAUCCUGUGAGGCAUUUACAUGAAAAAUAAAGAAAUACAAUAGUCUAUGAAAAACAUAAACAAAGACUAGCAAACUAUGUUUAUAUAAAAAAAGAAGAUUAAGAAUUUCACAUUGUGUAUUGUAUACAUUCUCUGAUGUUAAAUUGAACCAUUGAAAUACUGAAAACAUGUGGGAAAUAUCAAGUCAUUCCCAAAUAAUGAGAGAGAUGACAAAGGCCCAUGGUUGUAACAUCUACAAGCUGCUAUCUCCCUUGUGUCUCUGAAUAAGUUUAUCAUCUUGUACUGAGAUAGAUUUUCUCAUCUGACCAUAUACAGAUUCCUUUUAGAUGUCAUGAAUCAGGCUAAGGCCGAGUUGCUAGCUUGAUACUCAACCCAGCACGGAUGGAAAGCAUGCAAGGGCUCCGAAGUCCAGCGCAGAUGCCACUAUGCCACCAGCCAGCUAAUUGAAGGGUCAAGUAUCGUCUUCUGCUUGGCACUUGGACAUGAUCCCUGGAAGUGUCCCAGAUUGUCACAGUAGAGCAUCAAUCUAAAUUUCAGUCUUCUUUCCUGGAACGUGGAGUAAGGAAGCAGGGAAUGUUGCUAUCACUAUGUUUCAGUCAAGACGCCACUGAAAUGAGAGGGAAUUAAAUACAAUCACAAUGAAACAGUAAUUGGCAGGAACGUGCAUACUCAUGAACGUGAUUGCGGACAGUGUUGAGCUGCCCACCUGCGAGGACACCCAGACUCCAUGGUUGUGACAGGGUUACGGAGAUGGCGUCCAUUGUAGACUUGUUGAAUUGAAUUGACUUUAUUACUUACAUCCUUCAAAUACAUGAGGAGUAAAAAUCUUUAUGUUAUGUCUCUGUCUAAAUGUGCAAUGUACAAUUUACAGUCAUUUAUAAUAUGUACAACAGGAUAGUCAAUAUAACAUAGAAAUAUAGUAGCAUCAGCAUGAACUAAGCAGUCUGAUGGCCUGGUGGAAGAAGCUCUCCCGGAGCCUGUUUUAUGCUGUGGUACCAUUUCCCAGAAGGCAGCAGCUGGAACAGUUUGACGUUGGGGUGACUUGGGUCUCCAAUGAUCCUUUUUACACACCUGUCUUUGUAAAUGUCCUGAAUAGUGGGAAGUUCACAUCUACAGAUGCACUGGGCUGUCCGCACCACUCUAUGCAGAGUCCUGUGAUUGAGGGAAGUCCAGUUCCCAUACCAGGCAGUGAUGCAGCCAGUCAGGAUCCUCUCAAUUGUGCCUCUGUAGAAAGUUCUUAGAAUCUGGGGGCCCAUACCAAACUUCUUCAACUGUCUGAGCUGAAAGAGGCACUGUUGUGCCUUUUUCACCACACAGCCGAUAUGGACAGAUAAUGUGAGAUCCUGGGUAAUGUUUAUGCCAAGGAACUUAAAGCUGUUCAUUCUCACAACCCCAGAUCCACUGAUGUCAAUAGGGAUUAUCCUGUCUCCAUUCUUCCUGUAGUCCACAACCAGCUCCUUUGUUUUUGCAACGUUGAGGGAGAGAUUGUUUUCUUGACACCACUGUGUCAAGGUGAUGACUUCUUCUCUGUAGGCUGCCUCAUUAUUAUUUGAGAUUAGGCCAAUCAGUGUAGUGUCAUCAGCAAAUUUAAUUAGCAGAUUGGAGCUGUGGGUGGUGGCACAGUCAUGGGUAUACAGAGAGUAAAGGAGAGGGGGCUUAGUACACAGCCCUGAGGGGCACCUGUGUUGAAAGUCAGAGGAGCAGAGGUGAGGGAGCCCACUCUUACCACCUGCCAGCGAUCUGACAUAUACAUAGUGGACUAAAGGGCCUGGCUCUGGGCUUUAUAAGUUAAUGACAUUUUAAAGAUGAAAGAUUAUCUUUAUUUAUCACAUUUACAUCAAACAUACAGCGAAAUGCUUCAUUUGUGUCAAUGACCAACACAGUACGAGGAUGGCUGAGGGCACCCCGCAAGUGUCUCCAUGUGGCAGGCACCAAUGUAGCAUCCCCACAACCCACUAAUCAUAAUCCGUACAUCUUUGGAAUGUGAGAGGAUACUGGAGCACUCAGAAGAAACCCAGCUAGUCAGGAGGAGAACGUACAAGCUCCAUGCAGACAGCAGCGGGUAUCGAAACCCUGAUCACCGAUGCUGUAAAGCAUUAUGUUAACUGUACAGAUAGGUACUUGAUGGUUGGCAUAUACUGUAUAUAGCAUACUGAAGGGUCAUCAGGACAUAAAUGGAGUUCAGCUUACAGUAACACUUGCAAAAGGGCUUGUUUCUGAGGUAAAGCAAAACCUUCUGCUAAAUUAAAACUGAGGUUACCAGAAAGAACAAUGGUCAUAAGCCACUAACAAAGCACAGUUCCAAAUAAAGAGAGCAAAAUCCUUCCAGUUCCCACACUGCUUGUAUCACUUGAGGAGGAAUGUGGGGGAAACUGCUUCAUUCAGAGGAUGGUGCGAGUGUAGAAUGAGCUGCCAGCAGGAUUGAAACAUUUAAGAGGUUUGGAUAAGAACGUGGGUAUGGAGUAUAUGGGUAUAAGAAGGGUAUGGAGGGCCAUGGUCUGGACAGAAUAAUAGUUCGACAUGGACUAGAUGGACUGAAGGCCUUGUUCGAGUGCUGUAGCACUCUAUGACUUGGAAAUUAUUCACUAACCUAAAGACUUGAUGUUCUUGAAAAUGCAACAUCAUUGAAGUGUUCAUUCAGAACACUCGUUUGGUUCUCACUCUAGUCUAUACAUAUUGUUCAAGACAUAAAAUAUGAAAAUUCUUACUGUUGAAACUAUGUAUUAAUGCCUUCUUUAUAUUUAAUCAUGUGUUGUGGCUUCAGCUAGUUGAAUGUUGCUUUACAAUCUGACAGGUUGUUGCAUUUUCUGUUACAUAACAAAUAACUAUUACACUUCUAGAAAAGGCUGAAAUUGUGUCCCAGUUUGUUACCUCUGAAAUCUGAAGAAGCCAAGCCUAUGAUUAAACAAGAACAUUUCAAUUGUACUUCUUUACACCUUCUUUAAAGCCAUAAAGCAGCAUCUUACCUGCCCCUCUGCAAUUAGACGUUGCUACACAAGCUGUACUGACCACUUAUAUUUACUGUUUGCCUGAAGUUCAAGUCUCCAUGGCAAUAGAAGAGAAUUCCCAUCAAGGAAUAAAAACAAUAGCAUAAUAUUGGGUGAGACAGACUGCUGAGUAUAUUGGCUAAAUUUCCCACCAAUACUGCUGGCUGCAAGCCACUCCACUUUGUCUCUGCACUAUUCAGUUGGACCAUUAGGAGCAAUUAGCAACCAUGAUAGGAUUGUGGUCCUCAUUACUAUUGUUAUUGUCUUAACAUUAGCAUGCUACAGGAUAACUGCAUGGUCGUGAUCACAAACUUCAGAGGGGAAGUACAUAGGUUUAAUGGCACUGUUACUAUGAAUUAAGUACUAUUUCUGCUCUUAUUAAGUCUUAUAACAAGUAGUUGUAAGACUCUUACUUGCUGAUUAACAGGGCGACAUUUGAGAAAUGGCUUGAAAAUAGGGAUUAAUGUCUUACUUUUCCUUCCCCAACUGAUCUGACAUAUGAUCAAAACAUUCUUACUAUGCUUAGCUCUGGAUUGCUUCCAACAGACAACACUAUUUGCAAAGUAAUUUGGAGCCAAACUUUAUUCAACUUAACAAAUUUUGGAAACAGAACUUUAAUUCAGUUGGACCAUUAGGAGCAAUUAGCAACCAUGAAAGUAAAGUUCAAAGUACGUAAAUGUCACCAUAUACUACCCUGAGAUUUGUUUUCUUGUGGGCAUACUCAGUAGUUCCAAGAACCGUAAUAGAAUCAGUGAAAGACUGCACCCAACAGGGUGGACAAAAACAAUAAACUGUGCAAAUACAAAAGCAGAAUCACAAUCAGUUUUAUAUCACUGGCAUAUGUCGUGAGAUUUUUGUAUUAUGCUGCAGCAGCACAUUGCAAUACAUAGUAAUAAAACUGUAAAUUAUAGGAAGAAGUGUACAUAUACCUAAAAAGUUAAAUAAGUAGCAAAAAAAGGAAAAAAUGAAGCAUUGAGGUAGUGUUCAUGGGUUCAAUGUACAUUCAGAAAUCAGAUGGCAGAUGGGAAGAAGUUAUUCCUUCCUGAUGGUAGCAAUGAGAAGAGGGCAUUUUGAGGGUGGUAGAUGUCCUUAAUGAUGGAUGCCACUUUUCUGAGGCAUUGCUCCUUGAGCGUGUCACGGAUGAUGGAGCUGGCUGAGUUUGUAACUUUCUGCAGCUUAUUUCGAUCUUGUGCUGUGGUACCCCCUCCAAUACCAGAUGAUGAUGCAUCCAGUUAGAAUGCCCUUCAUGGUACAUCUGUAAAAGUUUGCAAGUGUAUAUAGUCAUGUACCAAAUCCCCCCCAAACUCCUAAUGAAGUAUAGCUGCUGUCACAUCUUCUUUGUAACUGCAUUGCUAUCUCAGGAUAGAUCCUCAGAGAUGUUGAAACCCGGGAACCUGAAAUUGCUCAGCCUUUCCACUUCUGAUACAUUGAUGACAAGUGGUAUGUGUUCCCUUGUCUUACCCUUUUUAAAGUCCAUAAUCAAUUCUAUGGUGUUACUGACAUUGAGUGCACUGUUUGAGUUGAGACACCACUCAAACAGCUGACCUAUCAAAAAUAAAUCAUAAUAAUAAUAAUAAUAAUAAACAAAUAAGCAAUAAAUAUCAAAGACAUGAGAUGAAGAGUCCUUGAAAGUGAAUCCAUAGGUUGUGAGAACGGUUCAGUGAUGGGGCAAAUGAAUUUGAGUGAAGUUAUCCCCACUGGUUCAAGAGCCUGAUGGUUGAGGGGUAAUAACUGUUCUUGAACCUGGUUGUAAGAGUCCUGAGGCUCCUGUACCUUCUUCCUGAUGGAAGAAGCGAGAUAAGAGCAUGACUUGGAUAGUGGGGGUUCUGGAUGAUGGAUACUGCUUUCCUGUGACAGCACUCCUUUUUGGUGUGCUUUCCCCAUGAUGAACUGGGCAGUAUCCACUACUUAGCCACUACAGUUAACCAAGAGAAAAUCUUCUUCCUCUCCUGAUAUCAAGAAGUGCAGUUGAGAAGUUCAUUUAAUAUUUUUCUGAGGAACUCCUCAACUAAGCAAUGUUGAUGUCUUAAAUAUUUUGAGACAGUCUUAUAGACUGCAAGAAACUGCAGAAAGUUGCUGACACUGCUGAACACAUCACAGAAACCAGUCUCUUCACCAUAAACACUGUGUCUACCUCUCACUGCCUCAGUAAAGUAGUCAGCAGUAUUAAAAGCCCUACCCAAUCCGGACACUCUCUCCUUUCUCCCCUCCCAUCAAGUGGAAGAAAUGAAAGCACAUGCCACCAGGCUCAAGGACAGCUUCUAUCCUGUUGUUAUAACACCACUGAAUGGUCCUCUGGUAUGAUAAGAUGGGAUCUUAACCUUACAAUCUAUAUCGUUAUGACCUUGCGCCUUACUGUUUGUCUGCAUUCUACUUUCUCUGUACUUCACUCUGCACUCUGUUAUUGUUUUACUUUGUACUACCUCAGCGCAUAGUUGCAUGAAUAGCAAGCAGGACAGGUUUUUCUGUACACCUCAAUAUAUACACUUGGCCACUAUAUUAGAGUUACCUGUACACCUCAUUAAUGUAACUAUCUAAUCAUGUGGCAGCAACUCAAUGCAUUAAAGCAUCCAGACAUGGUCAAGAGGUUUACUUGUUGUUUGGACCAAAUAUUAGAAUGGGAAUGAAAUGUUAUCUCAGUGACUUUGACCCUGGACUGUUUACUGGUGCUGUGGUUUGAGUAUCUCAGGAACAGCUGGUGGAAGCUGCAGAAAAAUGUAAACUCAGCCAGCUCCAUCAUGGGUACUAGCCUCCCAGCAUGGAGGACAGCUUCAAAAGGUGAUGCCUCCAAAAAGGUGCCAUUGCCAUCAUUAAGGGCCCCCAUCACCCAGGACAUUCCCUCUUCUCAUUGCUACCAUCAAGGAGAAGGCGCAGGAGCAUGAAGACACAUACUCAACAUUUCAGGAAUAGCUUCCACCGUCUGAUUUCUGAAUGGACAAUAAACCCAACUUCACUAAUAUUUUUUUCCCUUUUUUUUGCUCCCUUUUGCACUACUGAUUUAAUUUGAAAUUUUGUGCAUACAGUGGAUUCCUUUUAUUUGGGACACAUUGGGACCAGUACAUUUUGGCUCAAUUAAGCGGCUGCUCCAAUUAGCCGAAGUUUCAUGGAAAUAUUUAAAAAGGUAUAAAAAAGACAAACUUCCAUUUAAGGUGCAUAACAAAUUAUGUAUUUAAAUGAAAUACAGAACAAAUUAAACACCAGCAAUACAACUACAGUACUAUAAAACUGCGUAUUGGUUCCCAAUAAUUAUCGACGGAGGAAUUCAUCCAGUGUAUGUGGCUGUGUGCUUUCUAUUGCCUGUAAAUAAAUAAAAUCAGUGCAGGCACUAGUGCUGAUAACAAACUGCCUUCGUACAAUGCUUUCAAUAACUGCAUCCUCCAAAUCUACAAUUUCAUUGUAACAUUCAAGAUGAUUGUCGAUAUCGACAAUCAUUGUAGUUCCUAACUUGUUGAAGUAGUAAAAUUAUUUGAUUUUCACUCACAGCUGUUUCAAGCAUCUCCAAGCCCAAAAGCUUGAAACUGCAAUAAGCAAAACAGUUCUAAGUUGCCUUACUGCUUACUUCUCGCCAGCUAUCAGUGAUAAAAAUUACUGCUUUUUGAAUACAAACACACACAACUGAUGCUAUGUAAAAACUGUUCACUCUAAGCACAGUGUAUGUGGCUGACACUAGUUAGAAACUGGCAACAGUCUCUUUUUCCAAUUAAGCGCCAUGAUGUCCCAAAUCAAUGAACAGAAUCCCAGAUAUUUUCUUAAUUAGUUUUUGUUCUUUGUGCUGUCCUAAGUACGCAGCUGCCCCAAUUAACCAAUGGCUCAAUUAACUGGAAUCCACAGUAUUUCUUAUUGUAAUUUUUAGUUUUUUUAUUGUUAUGUAUUGCAACGUUCUGCUGCAGCAAACCAACCAUUUUCACAGCUUACUGUAUGACAGUGAUAUUAAACUUGAUUUUGAUUGUGAUUUACAACAGUCUUUAGAGUUUACAGAGAAUGGAAAAAUAAAAAAAUCCUGUGAGUGAAAACGUCUUGUUAAUGAGAUAGGUUAGGUUAAUGAGAAGGCAUAUGGUGCGUUGGCCUUCAUCAGACAUCGGAUUGAGUUCAAGAGCUGAGAGAUAAUGAAUUGAAUUGAAUUGACUUUAUUUCUUACCUCCUUCACAUACAUGAGGAGUAAAAAUCUUUAUGUAGCAGCUGGAAUAGAUUGUGUUUGGGAUGGCUUGGGUCCUCAGUGAUCCUACAGGCCCUUUUUACACACCUGCCCUUGUAAAUGUCCCGAAUCAUGAGAAGUUCACGACUACAGAUGCGCUGGGCUGUCCGCACCACUCUCUGCAGAAUCCUGCGAUUAAGGGAGGUACAAUUUCCAUACCAGGCAGUAAUGCAGCCAGUCAGGAUGCUCUCAAUUGUGCCCCUGUAGAAAGUUCUUAGGAUUCGGGGGCCCAUACUAAACUUCCUCAACCGUCUGAGGUGAAAGAGGUGCUGUUGUGCCUUUUUCACCCCACAGCCAGUAUGUACAGACCACGUGAGAUUCUCAGUGAUGUGUAUGCCAAGGAACUUAAAGCUGUUUACCCUCUCAACCCCAGAUCCAUUGAUGUCAAUAGGGGUUAGACCGUCUCUAUUCCUCCUGUAGUCCACAACCAGCUCAUUUGUUUUUGUGACAUUGAGAGGAUACAGCUGUAUAAGACCUUAGUUAGACCCCACAGAGAACUGUGUUCACUUCUGGUCACCUCACUAAUAGGAAGGAUAUGGAUACUAUAGAGAGAGUGCAGAGGAGAUUUACAAGGAUGUCACUUGGAUUGGAGAGUGUGCCUUUUGAGAAUAGGUCUAAGUGAACUUGGCCUUUUCUCCUUUGAGUGACAGAGAAUAAGAGGUGACCUGAGAGAGGUGUAUAAAAUGACGAGAGGCAUUGAUCGUGUAGAUAGCCAGAGGUUUUUUCUCAUGGCUGAAAUGGUUAACAUGAGGAGGCAUAGUUUUAAGGUGCUUGAAAGUAGGUGCAGAGGUGAUGUCAGAGGUAAAUUUUUCACACAGAGAGUGGUGGGUGUUUGGAAUGCAGAGGCAGAUACAAUAGGGUCUUUUAAGAGACUCUUAGGUACAAGGAACUUAGAAAAAUAGAGGGCUAUGCAGAAUGGAAAUUGUAGGCAGUUUCUAAAGUAGGUUAUUAUUGGUCAGCACAACAUUGUAGGCCAAAGAGCCUGUUCAAUGUUCUAUGUUAGAUAAAAAUGGCCAGACAGGUUCAAACUGAUAGGAAAGCGACAGUAACGCAAAUAACAACGUGCUACAACAGUGGUGUGCUGAAGAGCAUCUCUGAAUGUACAUCUUGUCGAAAGUUGAAGUGAAUGGGUUACAGCAGCAGAAAACCUCUCUGAAUUCUACUCCAGUACCUAGUAAAGUGGCCACUGAGUAUAUGUGAUCAAUUUAUCAAUUUAAGUGAAUUGCUUUGACUAUUACCUAAGUGUUUAUCACUGCCUCAGAGUGCUGAAGACCCAGGUUUAAUCCUGACCUUGGGUGCUGUCCACUGUGAGAAUGCACAUUCCUUUCCAAGUGCUCUGAUUUCCUUCCACGUACCAAAGCCACUACAUAUUGCCUCCAGCACGUGGGUGAAUGGCAGUAUCUGAAGGGAGCUGAUUAGAAUGCAUCACAGAGUCAUACAACAUGGAAGUAGCUCUUCAACCCAAUUAGUCCAUGCUGACUAUUAUCCCCAUCUAAGCUAGUCCCUUUUGCUCAUGUUUGGCCCAUGUGCUUCUAAGCCAAGGAUUUCCAACUUUUUGUUAUGCAAUGGACCAAAAUCAUUAAGCAAGGAGUCUGUGGACCUCAUGUUGGGAACCCCUGCUCUAAACCUUCCCAUCCACUGUAUGUACUUGUCUAAGUACCUUUUAAGUGUUAUUAGCUUACCCGCCUCAACAAUUUCUUCUGGCGCUAGAUCCAUAUACUAACCUGGGUGAACGCUUAGCUUCCUAUUAAAUGUCUCCCUUUUCCUUGAAUCAGAAUCAGGUUUAUUAUCACUAGCAUGUGUCAUGAAAUUUGUUAACUUAGCAGCAGCAGUUCAAUGCAAUACAUAAUAUAGAAGAAGAAAAAGAUAAAAGAAUAAUAAGUAAAUCAAUUACAGUAUGUACAUAUUGAAUAGAUUAAAAAUAGUGCAAAAAAACAGAAAUUAUAUAUAUUAAAAAAGUGAGGUAGUGUUCACGAGUUCAACGUCCAUUUGGGAAUCGGAUGGCAGGCGGGAAGAAGCUGUUCCCGAAUCACUGAGUGUGUGCCUUCAGGCUUCUGCACCUCCUACCUGAUGGUAACAGUGAGAAAAGGGCAUGUCCUGAGUGCUGGAGGUCCUUAAUAAUGGACGCUGCCUUUCUGAGACACCAUUCCUUGAAGAUGUCCUGGGUACUUUGCAGGCUAGUAUCCAACAUGGAGCUGACUAAAUUUACAAACCUCUGCAGCUUCUUUUCGUACUGUGCAGUAGCUCCCCCACCCCCCAUACCAGACAGUGGUGCAGCCUGUUAGAUUGUUCUCCAUGGUACAUCUAUGGAAGUUUUUGAGUGUAUUUGUUGAUAUACCAAAUCUCUUCAAACUCCUAAUGAAGUAUAGUCACUACCUUGUCUUCUUUAUAACUGCAUCAAUAUUUUGGGACCAGGUUAGGUCCUCAGAGAUCUUGACACCCAGGAACUUGAAAUUGCUCACUCUGUCCACUUCUAAUCCCUCUGUGAGGAUUGGUAUGUGUUCCUUCAUCUUACCCUUCAGGAAGUCCUCAAUCAGCUCUUUCAUCUUACUGACAUUGAGUGCCAGGUUGUUGCUGCAACAUCACUCCACCAGUUGACAUAUCUCGCUCCUGUAUGCUCUCUUGUCUCCAUCUGAGAUUCUACCAACCAUGGUUGUAUUGUCAGAUGGUAUUUGAGCUACGCCUAGCCACACAGUUAUGUACAUAUAGAGAGUAGAGCAGUGAGCUAAGCGCACACCCCUGAGGUGCACAAGUGUUGAUUGUCAAUGAGGAGGAGAUAUUAUCACCAAUCAGCACAGAUGGGUGUAAUUGGGUGGCAUGAGCUCAUUGGGUCAGAAAAGCCUGUUACUGCGCUGUAUCUCUUAAACAAUAUCUUAGUAGAUAUCCUAACCAUGUACUGAGGGAGUGCUUUUCUGUUGCUGUAAAUUGAAGAGAGAGUUAAACAAAGGCCUGCUGGUCUACUACUCAAAUGACAUCUCCUGUUACUACUCAAACAAGAGCAGGUGAGCUAGUAUCUGGGUCAAUAUGUAUGCCUCACCCAAUGUCACAGACAGGUCAUUUGGUCCUUUUCACAGUACUCUUGUUACACAAAUUGAUUGCUGUCUUUCCUGCUUUACAACUGUGAUAGUACUUUAAAAUUAUUUAAAUCACUUUGGGGCUUUCCAAGACCAUUAAAUAGAUUUUAUGAAUGUAAUGCCUUUCUGUAUCUUUGAAAACUGUGUAUUAAUAAUAUAACAGCAAUAUUUAUCCAGUGUUUGCAAUCAGUAAGGAGUUUGUACAUACUCCCUGUGAUUGCAUGGGUUUCCUCCCACAUCCCAAAGAUAUUCAGGUUAUGAUUAGUGAGCUGUGGGGAUGCUAUGUUAGGGGCAGAAGCGUGACAAUAUUUGUGUGCUGUCUCUAGCACAGGUUGUGUUGGUAAUUGAUGAAAAAUAACACAUUUCACUGUAUGUUUUCAUGUUUCAAUGUACAUGUGACAAAUAAAGCCAAUCUUUUAAAAAGAAAGUCUCAUCCAAUUGUGUCUUCCAGAUUUAGCUCACAUCAAAGUUGUGCCAAUUAACUUACUAACCAGUAAGCCUUUGGACAGUGGGAGGAAAUGGAGCAUGCAGAGAAAACUACUCUCUCCACAGCAUCAAGAACAUCUUCAAAAGGCAAUGCCUCAAAAAGGCAACAUGCAUCACUGAGGACCCUCAUCACCCAGGAUGUGCCCUUUUCUCAUUGCUACCAUCAAGGAGGAGGUAAAGGACCUGAAGACACACACUCAAUGUUUUACGAUUCACUAUUUUUUCCUAUUUUUGGUUUGCUCCUUUUUGCACUAUUUAAUUUAAUUUUUAAUUUAUACAUUUUUUAUUGAAAUUUAUAGUUUUAUGUAUUGCGAUGUACUGCUUCUACAAAACAACAGAUUUCACAACUUAUUAUUUGUUAUGUGCCAUGUCUUCAUAACAUAUGCCAGUGAUAUAAAACCUGAUUCUGAUUCUGAACUGUUGCUAGUUAAUGUCAGGCAAUCAGUCCUGUUGUUUCAAAGUCAAAAUAAAUUUAUUAUCAAAUUAUGCACAGUAUAUGUUACCAUAUUCUACUUUAAGAUUUGUUUUCUUGCAGACAUUUACAGUAAAAUAAAGAAAUACCAUAGUAUUUAUAUUAAAAAAAACAGUACAUCAACUGACAACCAAUGUGCAAAAGAAAACAAAUUGAGCAAAUAAAAAAUAAUUAAUACUGAAAAUACGAGUUUUAGAGUUCUUGAAAGUGAGUUCAUAGGUUGUGGAAUCAGUUCAGUUGUGGUGAGUGAAGUUAUCCACACCGGUUCAGGAGCCUGAUGGUUGUAAUGUAGUAACUGUUCCUGAAUGUGGUGGUGUGGGAUGCAAGGCUCCAGUCCAAUGAUAAAAGCAAGAAAAAAGCAUGGUCUGGAUGGCAAGGGACCUUGAUGAUGGAUGCUGCUUUUUGUGGCAGCAUUCAUAAAUGUGCUCAGUGGUGAGAAGGGCUUUGCCUGUGAUAGACUUGACUAUGUCCUCUGUAGUUUUGUACAUUCCUGGACAUGGUGUUAGCAUACCAGGGUGUAAUGCAACCAUUGACAAAUAGUUUGCUAUAAGUUGUGAUAAAUUGUAUAAUGGCCGUGGUUAUUGCAAAAUGCAUAUGAUUGAAUAGCUACUUAUCAUCAAGGCGCCUACAUCUAUAACAGCUAUUUACACAAAGUAUCGGUUUGACAGUAAUAAUUAAAUUACAUGACUAAAUAAAAUGACAAGGAAAUGAGAGUGAUAAUCAGCAUAAUUGAUGAUGAAGCACUCAUGCUCAUCAUCUACAUCACGAAAGCUACACGCAUGCAAGCACUUCCUUCCAUCUCACAUAAUAAACUUACCGCAAUAUCUGACGCAAAUGCCUUGUGAUAAAGUAUCUAACAAAGCUUUCAUUUGGAAACCUUGGACCCACCAUUAAAGGAAAAGCUAUGGAAACAGAUUAUUGUUUAUCUGCAGAAUAAUAAUGUUUUAAGUUCCUAACUCACGGAAGCAGCACAACAGGAACUUCCUCAGUAUUAUCCAGAAAUGACUGUGUGCGAUGUGCAGAGGCAAAGAUUAAAAUUGUAAAUACAGACAUUCCAGCUGCAGGAAUUUCCCAACCUUUACACCAACUGAAAUCUCUGGACUGUCAGCAAGGGCUUGACAGCCCUUCAAAGUGAGGUGGAGUAAGAAGAAAAUUAGUCCGGUAGAUGAAACUUGCAUAUCAUGUGUAUUGAUCAAUGGACAGUGAUUCCUUAAUGCUGUUUCAGGAUGGCUUUAUUAAUGCCUCAUGUUGGAGGAACAGGGGCAUCUUGGGGUCCACAUCCAUCGAUACCUCAAAGUUGCCUCACAAGUUGAUAGGGUGGUUAAGAAGGCGUAUGGUGUGUUAGCCUUCAUUCGUCAGGGAAUUGAGUUCAAGAGCUGCAAGGGAAGGUUGCAGCUCUAUAAAAAAUCUGGUUAGGCCACACUUGUAGUAUUUUGUUCAGUUCUGGUCACCUUAUAAUAGGAGGGAUGUGGAAAGUAUAGAGGGUUUGUCAGCAUUAGAUUUCUUUACACAGAGGAUGGUGGGUGUAUGGAAUGAUGGUAGAGGCUGAUACGUUAGGGAUAUUUAAAAUACUCUUAGAUAGGCACAUGGGUGAAAGUGACAUGGAGGGCUAUGUAGGAAGGAAGGGUUAGAUUGAUCUUAUGGUAGUUAAAGGGUCAACGGGGCCUGUACCAUGCUGCAGUGUUCUAUGUUCUAACUGAGUUGGGAGAUAGAAUUCCAGGAGAAGGCCACUGGAUAAGAAAAAAAAAUAAAGAUACCAGGCAGCUCUAUAAGCAGUUUCAUUAAUAGUCUACUUUUGGUUUGCUCUUUAAAGCCAUGUACAGCACGAUGCAAAGUUUGCAUACAAAAUUAGUUGGGUGGAAAGAGUCGGAGGAUGGUAGUAAAGGAAUGUUGUUCAGAUUGGAAGUCUGUGACCACUGGUGUACUGUGGGGAUUGAUGUUGGGUCCACUGUUGUUUGUCAAAUACAUUAAUAACUUGGAAUGUAAGAUAGAUAGAUAGAUAGAUACUUUAUUCAUCCCCAAGGGGAAAUUCAACAUUUUUCCAGUGUCCCAUACACUUAUUGUAGCAAAACUAAUUACAUACAGUAUUUAACUCAGUAUAAAUAUGAUAUGCAUCCAAAAUCACCCUCCCAAAAAGCAUUAAUAAAUAGCUUUUAAAAAGUUCUUAAAUAGUUUACUGAAGUGCAUUGAGUAGUAACUUAAGCUCAGUCCUAACCCCGGCACUUUAACAUGUCUUGCUCCUGGUGACUGAUUAGCAAAUUUGUGGAUGAUACAAAAGUUGAUGGGGUGAAGGAGGUUGUCUAAGGUUACAGUAGGGUUUAAGUCAAUUUGAAAAGAGAAGAAAGAUUGGCAACAGGAUUUUAACUCAGGCAAGUGUGAAGUGAUGCCUUUUGGAAAUGUAAACCAAGUCAGAACUUACACAGUAAAGAAAAGGACUGUGGACUAGGUUGUAGAACAGAGACACCUUGGAGUAAAAAAGUGUUUAAUUUAUGUUUAUAAAUUUCUUCUGAAUGUUUUUAUAUGAUGUUAUGUGCCUGUAAUGCUGCUGCAUAUAAAAUUUUUCAUUGCGCCUGUGCAAACACAUAGAGCGAGAUUAGCUUCAUUUGUCACAGCUUUGAGUUAUGAGGAGAGACAGGAUAGGAUGGAAAGGAUGGGUUUCUGGCAAGAUGGCAGCGUGCUCAGACACAGCAGCCUCUCUGAGUCCAAUUCAAAGCUUCGAUUGUUCAUCCUUUACAUCUUUUUCACAAUCGCAAGACACUGCUGGACAUCAAGAACAACAGGUUCCACAGGUCCACACCACUAGCGUGUUGCUAAACAAUAAUGGAGCUGUACCUGCUGUCCAGUGUGUUGCAACCUGCUUCAGCCGCCCAGGGAAGGAGGCGUCAGAGGCAGUGCACGGAGCACAGCCUAACAUUGUGAGUGACUGUCUUGGACAUUCCUGUUGUGAGGACCAGACCUUGUUGGACAUUAGUAAUGUAGAAUACUGCAGGUCCAAGUCACUGUUGAUUGGUGAGACUGACGGCAAGGGAGCUGCGUGGCCUCAUUUGUGGCAUGGACCAGGGCCUCAGGGUUGCCUGUUGUGGCUGCAAUGAAAGAACACCCCUGAGGUGGCUGUGUGCCACUGGAUUCCACGAUUUAUUUGAGGUUGGCCCCUCCCAUCGGUUCCGCCCUCCAGCGUUCACUCAGUGGAAGACAAGCUGGAUUGCAUUGGACAGCGGCUGCACUGCAUGGUAUGAGGAACUGCUACAGCCUGUUCUUGCAAAAAUGUGGCUCCAGGACAUAAUCCGUACAUCAGCAAUCUAUAGGUCAUGACGCUCAGGGACUAGGGCUAUAUUCUCAUUUUUAAAAUAUUAUAUAUAUUAUUUGUAACUGUAUGUUUCUUUUGCUAUCAUAAUGAUAUAAGGUUUCUUAAGGCUCUUGUAGCCGGGGUGGUAGUGGGGAUAAGCUCCCGGUACCUAUUAAAUGCUCCCAAUGGCGUGCAUCUCAAAUAGCCUCUGACAUUCAAGUUCAGCUCAGCUCCUGGUCUUUACGUGUAGCUUAGCUACUUAGCCUCAAGCAACCAUUUCUACUGACAGGAGAAGGGGCAAGAGUGAUGAUACUGAUGCUUUAAAACCAGUCACUUCGGGCAGAUGGGGCUCAUCAGCCAUGGUUGGCAGCUCAUCUGGGAGAAGGAAAACUCUGAUCUCAAGCCUCCACUGCCUUGUGGCUGCACCCACUCAUGGGGAAGACUCUGGGAAUAACCCUGAGGGAAAAUCCAGAGAUGGGUUCCCUAAGGCAGUCCUACAUUGAGUUCAACACUGACUGGCCAUUCCUGCAACACCGCUGGUGCCAAACUGUUUCGGUCUCUGCCGUUCCUUUGGAUUCAUCAGCUGUGUGGAGAAAGCUAGACUGCCACAUGGGCAAUAACUUGCUCUCCAUAUCAUACUGCCCUGGCUUGCGUAUUGGCUUGUGUAUCACGUAGAGAGCUGGGAUGCAACAUUCAUGGUCAACCCCAACCAACGCAUGGUCACAAUAAUCAUAUGUACUUUAUGUACUGUGUGCUGUGUGUGACUGUUGGUGCUGUGUUUAGCACCUUGGCCUCAGAGGAACGCUAUUUUGUUUGGCUGUAUUCGUGUAUAUGGUUGAAUGAGAAUUAAACUAGACCUUGUAUUCCCUGGACUAAAGGGGUCUGGCAGGUGACCUUGUAGAGAUAAAUAAAAUCAUGAAGAGCAUUGAUAAGAUAGUCUAUUUCCCAGGUUGGAGGAGUUUAUAAAUAGAGAGCAUAGGUUUAAGAUGACAGGGGAAGGAUUUGAAAGGACCUCAGAAGUACUUUUUUCACACAGUGGGUGUUGAGAAUAUUAACUUUGCUGUCUGAGGAAGUGGUAGAGGUGGACACAAAUACAGUGCUUAAAAGGCAUUUGGAAAGGUACAUCGCUAGGAAUGGUUGAGAGUGACACAAGUUCAAUAAAUAAACUGACAAACAAAUACACGACUGGAUGAAUGAAUAAAUAAAUAAAUGGGAUUAAAUCAGGAAGGCAUCUUGGUCGGCAGAAGUAAGUUGGGCUGAAUAGUCUGUUUCAGCCCACUGAGUCAGCAGCAACCAUCAGCCACCCGUUUACACCAAUUGUCCAACAAUCCCAUCAAAGACUCAGCAAAUCUUUAGAAUCCUGUUGUAGUCACUAUUCUGUAGAUUUGCAGAGUAUGCCCACAAGAAAGUGAAUCUCAGAUUGUAUAUGGUGACAUAUAUAUACUUUGAUAAUAAAAUUUAUUUUGAACUUUAUUCUCCACAGAUCUUUAAAAUUCCUCCCAGAUACUAUCACUUUCCUACAUACUAUAUGAAGGGCAAUUUAUAGAGAUCAAAUAACCCAAAGAAUCCAGAACACUUAAGAGGAAAGCCACAUGGUCACAGGGAGAACGUGCAGACUCCAUGCAGACAGAACCCCAAGUCAGGAUUGAAUCCACAUCUCUGGCUCUGUAGAGCAGUAGCAUUUCUCAUGAACCAUUUCCUUUAUCUGAGAAAGUCAAGGGAGGGACAAAGACCUGGCACCAGAAGUGCUGGUUAAUGAAAUUAUAAAAUUUAAACACCUUUCCUAAAUCAAAAUAACAAAUGUGGAACCUCUCUGCAUUGGGAUAAUAAGUAGCUGUUUGCCUAGUGACAGCAAACAAUGAGAGAUUCUUAACCGAGAGUCUGCGUUAAAACAAAUAUAUUUGUUCAUAACAAAUGCUACAUUUUAAACAAGUGAUCUGGUUCAAGAAUGGAGAAACUGGAAGAAAAUGUUCACAGGACACACUGAGCAGACAGUGGUCAGUAGCAGAGAGUUUAUGGUCUAUCUCAGAAACAGAUUUAAUAUCACCAGCAUAAGUCAUGAAAUUUGUUAACUUGCAGCAGUAGCAUAAUACAUGAUAAACUUGAAAGAAAUGUAUUACAGUAAAUAUAUAUAUGUAUAUUAAACAGUUAAGUUAAAACAAACAGUGCAAAAACAGAAAUUAAAAGAAAGUCUGAGGUAGUGUUCGUGGGUUCAAUGUCCAUUUAGAAAUCUGAUGGCAGAGGUGAAGAAGCUUUCUUGAAUCACUGAGUGUGUGCCUUCAGACUUCCGUACCUCCUUCCUGAUGGUAACAAUGAGAAGGGGGCAUGUCUAGGGUUACAUGCAGAAGAAAUUUCACUCUACUGUAAACACUUCAAAUGAGACUCUGGAGAAUACGUCACAUAAACAAGCACACUCAACGGGUAUCAGCAAGAAUCCUGUGACACAAGAGAUUCUCCAGAUGCUGGAAAUCUUCAGUAACACACACAAAAUGCUGGAAAAAAACUCAACAAAUCAGGGAGCAAAACACACAAAGUGAUGGAGGAACUCAGCAGGUCAGGCAGCAUCUCUGGAGAGGAAUAGACAGUCGAUGUUUCAGGCUGGGGCCCUUUAUCAGGAAUGGAAACAAAGGGGAAAGAUGCCAGAAUAAGAAGGUGAGAGGAGAGGGAGUACAAGCUAGAAGCCGAGAAGAUUAUAGGACAGAGGAACAGAAUCAGGCCAUUCAGCCCAUUGACUCUGCUCCGCUUUUCCAUCAUGGUUGAUCCUGGAUCCUACUCAACCCCGUACACCUGCCUUCUUACCAUAUCCUUUGAUGCCCUGACCAAUCAGGAAAAGAUCAACUUCCACCUUAAAUAUAUGCACAGUCUCCACUGCUCUGUGACAGAGCAUUCCACAGAUUGAGUAUGCUCUGGCUAAAAAAAUUCCUCCUUAUCCCUGUUCUAAAGGGUUGUCCCUCAAUUCUGAGGCUGUACCCUUUAGUUCUGGAUAUCCCCGCCAUAGGAAACAUCCUCUCUACAUCCACUCUGUCUAGUCCAUUCAACAUUCAGUAGGUUUCAAUGAGAUCCCCCUGAAUUCUUCUAAAUUCCAGUGAGUGCAGGCCCAAAGCUGCCAAACGCUCACUGAUGGAAUCCCGGGCGCUGCCGUUCAGCUGAACGGGCUCGCCUUGUUUCGAGUGGACAGGGACGCAGCUCUCUCCGGUAAGACUCGCGGUGGUGGCUUGUGUGUUUACAUCAAUACAGAAUGGUGUAAGAACUCUGCGCUGGUUUCCAGACACUGCUCAUCGCUAGUGGAGUUUCUGACUGUUAGAUGCAGACCAUUUUGUUUAUCAUGGGAAUUCACCACUGUCUACAUUCCCCCAGCGCUAAUGCUAAGGAGGCGCUGUGUGAACUGUACGGGGCUAUUAGCGAACUGCAGAACACACACCCUGAUGGACUGUUUAUUGUCACCGGAGAUUUUAACCACGCGAACCUCACGUCAGUGCUCCCCAAAUUCCAUCAGUAUGUGGACUUUGCAACAAGAGGGGAGAACGUGUUGGACCUGAUUUACACAAACAUCCCCAACGCGUACCAUGCAGAGCCCCACCCCCAACUCCGUUACUCAGACCACAUAUCUGUUAUGCUAAUCCCAGCAUACAGACCGCUCGCUCUAGACCAGUUCAGAAGCAGGUGUAAACCUGGCCAGCAGAAGCCAUCUCUGCUCUUCAAGACUGCUUUGAGCACACUGACUGGCACAUGUUCAAGGAGGCUGCAACCGAUGGCAACUCUACCAACUUAGAGGAGUACAUGGCAUCAGUGACUAGCUACAUCAGCAAGAGCAUCGACGACAUCACUGUGUCCAAGACCAUCACUAUACACGCUAACCAGAAGACAUGGGUGACUGCGGAAGUGUGUGCGCUACUGAGGACCCGUGACUCCGCCUUCAGAGCAGAUGACAAGACAGCCCUAACAACAGCGAGGGCCAAACUGUCCAGGGCCAUCAGAGAGGCAAAGCAUGCACACGCCCAGCGAAUCCACAGCCACUUCCAGGACAGCAGCGACACGUGGUGCAUGUGGAAGGGCAUCCAGGACAUCACCAAUUACAGGACAACAUCACCAGACUGUGCAGGUGAUGCCUCUCUCCCAGGUGCGCUGAGUAACUUAUACGCUUGUUUCGAGGCAGAAAAUGACGUGGCAGCAAGGAAAUCCACCCUCCUCCAAAUGACCAGGUGCUGUGUCUCACUGUGGCCAAUGUGAGAAGAACCCUGUGCAGGGUCAACCUACGGAAGGAUGCUGGACCAGACAAUAUUCCUGAGAGAGUGCUUAGAGAAUGUGCAGACCAGUUAGCAGAUGUUCUCACCGACAUCUUCAGCAUCUCCCUGAGCAGCGCCAUCGUUCCAACAUGCUUGAAGGCCACCACCAUCGUCCCCGUGCCGAAGAAAUCCUCAGUGUCCUGCCUAAAUGACUACCGUCCUGAGGCACUUACAUCCAUCAUCAUGAAGUGUUUCGAGAGGCUUGUCAUGAGGCAUAUCAAGACCCUGCUGCCCCCCCUUACUGGACCCCCUGCAGUUCGUGUACCAUCCCAACCGUUCAACAAACGACGCCAUUGCCACCACCCUCCACCUGGCUCAAACCCACCUGGACAAAAAAGACACAUACGUUCGACUGCUGUUCACAGGCUUCAGUUCAGCAUUCAACACAGUCAUCCCUCAGAAACUGGUUGGAAAGCUGAGCCUACUGGGCCUGAACACCUCCCUCUGCAACUGGAUCCUAGACUUGCUGACUGGGAGACCUCAGUCAGUCCGGAUCGGGAGCAGCAUCUCCAACACCAUCACACUGAGCACGGGGGACCCAGGGCUGUGUGCUCAGUCCACUGCUGUUCACUCUGCUGACCCACGACUGUGCUGCAACACACAGCUCGAACCUCAUCAUCAAGUUCACUGAUGACACAACCGUGGUGGGUCUCAUCAGCAAGAACGUUGAGUCAGCUUACAGAGAGGAGGUGCAGUGGCUAACAGACUGGUGCAGAGCCAACAACCUGUCUCUGAAUGUGAACAAAACAAAAGAGAUGGUUGUUAACUUCAGGAGGGAACGGAGCGACCACUCCCGGCUGAACAUCGAUGGCUCCUCAGUAGAGAUCGUAAAGAGCACCAAAUUUCUUGGGGUUCACCUGGCAGAGGAUCUUACCUGGUCCCUCAAUACCACUCCAUAGCAAAGAAAGCCCAGUAGCAUCUCUACUUUCUGUGAAGGCUGAGGAAAGUCCAUCUCCCUCCCCCCAUCCUCAUCACAUUCUACAGGGGUUGUAUUGAGAGCAUCCCAAGCAGCUGCAUCACUGCCUGGUUCGGAAAUUGCACCACCUCAGGUCGCAAAACCCUGCAGCAGAUAGUGAGGUCAGCUGAGGAGAUUGUUGGCAUCUCUCUUCCCGCCAUUACAGACAUUUACACUACAUGCUGCAGCCACAAAGCAAACUGCAUUAUGAAGGACCCUAUGCACCCCUCACACAAACUCUUCUCCCUCCUAUCACCUGGGAAAAGGCACUGAAGCAUUCGGGCUCUCACGACCAGACUAUGUAACAGUUUCUUCCCCCAAGCCAUCAGACUCCUCAACACCCAGAGACUGGACUGACCCAACUUACUGCACUCUACUGUGCCUAUUGUCUUGUUUAUUAUUUAUUGUAAUGCCUACACUGUUUCGUGCACUUUAUGCAGUCCUGGGUCAGUCUGUAGUCUAGUGUAGCUUUUUUUUCUGUGUUGUUUUUAUGUAGUUCAGUGUAGUUUUUGUACUGUUUCAAGUUGCACCAUGGUCCUGAAAAAUGUUGUCUCAUUUUACUGUGUACUGUACCAGCAGUUAUGGUCAAAAUGACAAUAAAAAGUGACUCGACUUGA